rnacentral:lncRNA from 1 species
CUGCUGCGGACCACUGGGCGCUGGCUGCUCCCGCUCGCCUCUUGGGGUGCGCUCGGCUCCAGCCCAACUCCGCCAGCUCCGCCAGCUCCGCCAGCUUCGCCGGCUCCAGCACCGCUCCAGCCCGAUUCCAGCCCGAUUCCAGCCCGGUUCCAGCCCGGUUCCAGCCCGGUUCCAGCCCAGCUCCGUCCCGGCUCCGGUUCUCCGCCACGCCUCUCUGUCGACGCUGAGGAGCAGCUUCGCAGGAAAAUCCCAGAAACCUUUGCAAAAAGCUUACAAUGAAAUUUAAGAAGUUCUACGAUUUCGGCGCCAUUUUCGAGUGGAGUGAGAGGUGACUUAGAAUCUAAAAAAGAAAAAAACGAGGGGGAAGGGAACUUUUUGGCCCGCCUCCCCCCGCCCCCAACUAUGUCUCUGGUCACUACAGACUGUAACAGAUACGGGGAUAAUUCUGAAAAAAAGUUAUGCGUCG